rnacentral:rRNA from 1 species
UACGAAGGGGGCUAGCGUUGCUCGGAAUUACUGGGCGUAAAGCGCACGUAGGCGGCUUUCUAAGUCGGGGGUGAAAUCCUGGAGCUCAACUCCAGAACUGCCUUCGAUACUGGAGAGCUUGAGUCCGGGUAGGAGGUGAGUGGAACUGCGAGUGUAGAGGUGAAAUUCGUAGAUAUUCGGAGAACACCAGUGGCGAAAGGCGGCUCACUGGCCCGGUACUGACGCUGAGGUGCGAAAGCGUGGGGAGCAAA